rnacentral:rRNA from 1 species
AGGGAAUAUUCCACAAUGGACGAAAGUCUGAUGGAGCAACGCCGCGUGAGUGAUGAAGGUUUUCGGAUCGUAAAACUCUGUUGUAAUGGAAGAACAGUUAGGUCAGGCAUUGGACGUACCUGGACGGUACCUUAUAAGAAAGCACCGGCUAACUACUUGCCAGCAGCCGCGGUAAUACGUAGGUGGCAAGCGUUGUCCGGAAUUAUUGGGCGUAAAGCGCGCGCAGGUGGUUUCUUAAGUCUGAUGUGAAAGCCCACGGCUUAACCGUGGAGGGUCAUUGGAAACUGGGAGACUUGAGUGCAGAAGAGUAAAGUGGAAUUCCAAGUGUAGCGGUGAAAUGCGUAGAGAUUUGGAGGAAAACCAGUGGCGAAGGCGACUUUCUGGUCUGCAACUGACGCUGAGGCGCGAAAGCAUGGGGAGCAAACA